CCUACGGGGGGCUGCAGUGGGGAAUAUUGGACAAUGGGGGGAACCCUGAUCCAGCCAUGCCGCGUGUGUGAAGAAGGCCCUCGGGUUGUAAAGCACUUUCAGUGAGGAAGAACGCCUGGUGGUUAAUACCCAUCAGGAAAGACAUCACUCACAGAAGAAGCACCGGCUAACUCCGUGCCAGCAGCCGCGGUAAUACGGAGGGUGCGAGCGUUAAUCGGAAUUACUGGGCGUAAAGCGCGCGUAGGUGGCUUGAUAAGCCGGUUGUGAAAGCCCCGGGCUCAACCUGGGAACGGCAUCCGGAACUGUCAAGCUAGAGUGCAGGAGAGGAAGGUAGAAUUCCCGGUGUAGCGGUGAAAUGCGUAGAGAUCGGGAGGAAUACCAGUGGCGAAGGCGGCCUUCUGGACUGACACUGACACCGAGGUGCGAAAGCGUGGGUAGCAAACAGGAUUAGAUACCCUAGUAGUC
rnacentral:rRNA from 1 species